CCACUUUUUUGAGCAUUUAGUCUGUAUUUAAGUUUUUUGGCUGAUUUUUUCUCAUUUCACUAUUUGAUUUUUUGGUGUCCGAAAAAGAGUGAAUAUGAAAUCAGCGCAAUGACAAAUGCCGUCAAGUCAACAAUCGAUGGCCAUCGUAGCUAAUGCAUUGGAGGAGCUGGCAGUAAACAAGUUUGCUUUUGUCUGUUGGCUGACUAACUGGUUUUACCAACGUUGGGGCCUAUCGUCUUGGCCUGUGUAACAGCUAUUUCAGUUCGAGUUCGUGUUUUGGCUGGGACGGGUGAAAACGCCCAGCGCAACGGAAAAGUGUGACCGUUAAUUCUAUUAGAAUGAAAAUGUGAUUGUGAAAUUAGAAAACUCAUUUUUUUCUGUUAAAGAUCGUGUCAAACAAAAGCCACAAAAUACAUACCAAGUGACCUUAAUUGCGCGACCCCUCCGAAAAAAUAGGGAGAAAUAACGGUUAUUUUCCAUAAGCAACAUCACGUAAAGUGAAAUAAGUUAUCAACGUUCCCAGUAAAGCCAACAACGAAGCCGUCAAUUUGUGGUCGAAUAAUAGCCAAAAAUCGUAAAAAAUUUAUACAAAAAUUUUGUUCGCGAAACUGCCACUCCAACGAAAGGUGGAAAAGUAAAGCACAAUAAAAUCAUAAGAAGCCUAGUACGGCUGACGAAACAGGGAAGUGCAAUUGGAAAAUCAACCAAUACAGUGAGAAAAUCAACAAAGCGCAAAGCACUUGUACGAAUUAAAUUAGCGCACACAAAGUUGCAGUGCACGAAAAAAAAA